rnacentral:rRNA from 1 species
UACGUAGGGUGCAAGCGUUGUCCGGAAUUAUUGGGCGUAAAGAGCUCGUAGGCGGUUUGUCGCGUCGAAUGUGAAAACCCGGGGCUCAACCCCGGGCCUGCAUUCGAUACGGGCAGACUAGAGUUCGGUAGGGGAGUCUGGAAUUCCUGGUGUAGCGGUGAAAUGCGCAGAUAUCUGGAGGAACACCGGUGGCGAAGGCGGCAUCCUGGACCGGCAUUGACGCUGAGGAGCGAAAGCCAGGGGAGCAAACGGG